GGAAGUAAAAGUCGUAACAAGGUUUCCGUAGGUGAACCUGCGGAAGGAUCAUUAGUGAAUUAAGCGCGUCUCUUAGGAGAGCGUGACCUCCACUUCUAACACUGUGCACUAUUUGGCGAGGUAGAGAAACGAGUCGUGUCGUCUCUCCUUGCGGCUUCAUUUUAAACACUAGUUAAAGUAUGUAACGAAAUAUCGAAACUAAAAAACUUUCAACAACGGAUCUCUUGGCUCUC
rnacentral:misc_RNA from 1 species